rnacentral:rRNA from 1 species
AUUGAACGCUGGCGGCAGGCCUGACACAUGCAAGUCGAGCGGAUGAAGGGAGCUUGCUCCUGGAUUCAGCGGCGGACGGGUGAGUAAUGCCUAGGAAUCUGCCUGGUAGUGGGGGAUAACGUCCGGAAACGGGCGCUAAUACCGCAUACGUCCUGUGGGAGAAAGUGGGGGAUCUUCGGACCUCACGCUAUCAGAUGAGCCUAGGUCGGAUUAGCUAGUUGGUGGGGUAAAGGCCUACCAAGGCGACGAUCCGUAACUGGUCUGAGAGGAGGAUCAGUCACACUGGAACUGAGACGCGGUCCAGACUCCUACGGGAGGCAGCAGUGGGGAAUAUUGGACUAUGGGCGAAAGCCUGAUCCAGCCAAGCCGCGUGUGUGAAGAAGGUCUUCGGAUUGUAAAGCACUUUAGGUUGGGAGGAAGGGCAGUAAGUUAAUACCUUGCUGUUUUGACGUUACCAACAGAAUAAGCACCGGCUAACUUCGUG